GGAGAGGUGGGAGAGUGGCUUAAUCCACAAGUUUGCUAAACUUGCGUACGAGAAAUUGUACCGGGGGUUCGAAUCCCCCCCUCUCCG
rnacentral:tRNA from 1 species